rnacentral:rRNA from 1 species
AUUGAACGCUGGCGGCAGGCCUAACACAUGCAAGUCGAGCGGAUGAAGGGAGCUUGCUCCUGGAUUCAGCGGCGGACGGGUGAGUAAUGCCUAGGAAUCUGCCUGGUAGUGGGGGAUAACGUCCGGAAACGGGCGCUAAUACCGCAUACGUCCUGAGGGAGAAAGUGGGGGAUCUUCGGACCUCACGCUAUCAGAUGAGCAUAGGUCGGAUUAGCUAGUUGGUGGGGUAAAGGCCUACCAAGGCGACGAUCCGUAACUGGUCUGAGAGGAUGAUCAGUCACACUGGAACUGAGACACGGUCCAGACUCCUACGGGAGGCAGCAGUGGGGAAUAUUGGACAAAGGGCGAAAGCCUGAUCCAGCCAUGCCGCGUGUGUGAAGAAGGUCUUCGGAUUGUAAAGCACUUUAAGUUGGGAGGAAGGGCAGUAAGUUAAUACCUUGCUGUUUUGACGUUACCAACAGAAUAAGCACCGGCUAACUUCGUG